rnacentral:lncRNA from 12 species
AGAACCCUGGAGGAGGAAGGGGAGCCUGAGGGGGUUGGUGGUGCUUCUUGGAGGCAAAGGCACCCAACAAUCAUGCUGGGGAGCUGUUACCCACGUUUUCAGCUACAGCCAGCCGUGCUGGGGACACACAGCCAGGAGAGGCACAAAGCCUGCCCUUUGUGAGCUCUUGAAGAUCUCUCUCACCUCCCCCCUGCCAAAUCCUGCUAAAGAGGUGAGGGGUCAAGCAGAAAAGCUAUCCCCAGCGGCCUUUAUUUACAGUUUUCAAGGGAGCGGCUGAUGAAGCAUUUAGAGGAAGAAGGAUGAACCUGCUCUCCCCUCACUCAGCCUGAUGACAGACAGGGGAUGCUGUAAUGGCACAGGAGCUGGGAAGGAGCCUUUUAUGAAUGAAAUGGAAGUGGUGCUAAUGAAGUUGCUCACAAAACUCCCAGUGACUCGAACGGGGCCAGGAUUUCAUCUGUAAUAUUUGCAGGGAGCCCAAGGAAAUUAUCUUCCCACCAGGACACUCUGUAGCACAGGAGCUGACUCCCAGCACUGCUAACAACACAGAGCUCCAUAAGCAGAUUUCAAGGCAUUUUAAAAACUUUUUCCUUUUACAUUUCUUCUCUCCAUCCUCCCUAGGCAACCAACCUGUAUUCCUAGAAAACUGCUAUAUUAUACUUUUUCCUUCUAGACCUUUUGAAAAUUUGCUAUAAAAACCUUGCAAGGUUUUUGUAUUUCUCUGGAUCUCUUGCUGCUGAAUGAAUAGAGAAGCUAUACAUGGUUUUGUGCUGUCAAGUCAGAGUAGCUACAUCCAUGCUUAAAAAAAUAUCAGGGACUUGUCUGUGUUCUGAG